UACAGAGGGGGCAAGCGUUGUUCGGAAUUACUGGGCGUAAAGGGCGCGUAGGUGGCCUUCUAAGUCGAACGUGAAAUCCCCGGGCUCAACCCGGGAACUGCGUCCGAUACUGGAAGGCUUGAAUCCGGGAGAGGGAUGCGGAAUUCCAGGUGUAGCGGUGAAAUGCGUAGAUAUCUGGAGGAACACCGGCGGCGAAGGCGACAUCCUGGACCGGUAUUGACGCUGAGGCGCGAAAGCCAGGGGAGCAAACGGG
rnacentral:rRNA from 1 species